UAAUUGCAGGAAAGCAAAAACUAAUGACAAAAAUUGAAGAAAAACUGGGGUCCACUAUUGAGAAUGGGAAGGAGCGUUCAAGUGAUACACCAACAAAAUAAGCUAAGAUGAAUUGAGGGAAAACCAGGAUGCGAUGAAGCAAGCUAUGGAUGCAAUAUUGAACAUUAUUAUCACCUGUUAGUGAAAAUUAUUCAGAUUUACCUAUAUACAUAUGGUAGAACUAGAAGCUUAGAACUAACUGAUCUUUCUUAUGGUUUGUUCUUUAAAAUGUAACAUUGGGAAAAGAAGGAAUACCAUAAAAAAUGUCAUCAAAAUGUCAAUUGUUUGUAGAUUUCCAUGUGUA